AGAGUUUGAUCAUGGCUCAGGACGAACGCUGGCGGCGUGCUUAACACAUGCAAGUCGAGCGAGGCUCUCCCUUCGGGGAGAUGUCCUAGCGGCGAACGGGUGAGUAACACGUAAGCAACCUGCCUCAAAGACCGGGACAACAUUCCGAAAGGAGUGCUAAUACCGGAUGUGGCCACCGAUAUGCAUGUAUUGGUGAUUAAAUCGAGCAAUCGGCUUUGAGAGGGGCUUGCGGCCUAUCAGCUAGUUGGUGGGGUAACGGCCUACCAAGGCGACGACGGGUAGCUGGUCUGAGAGGAUGUCCAGCCGGACUGGGACUGAGAUACGGCCCAGACUCCUACGGGGGGCAGCAAUUAGGAAUCUUGCGCAAUGGGCGAAAGCCUGACGCAGCGACGCCGCGUGGGGGAGGAAGGCCUUCGGGUUGUAAACCCCUUUUAUCAGGGAAGAACAAAAUGACGGUACCUGAUGAAUAAGCCACGGCUAACUCCGUGCCAGCAGCCGCGGUAAUACGGAGGUGGCGAGCGUUGUCCGAAGUUACUGGGCGUAAAGCGCGCGUAGGCGGGUUGUUAAGUGAGGGGUGAAAGGCUGAGGCUCAACCUCAUGUUUGUCCUCUCAUACUGGCAAUCUUGAGUGAGGCAGGGAGAAGUGGAAUGGCUGGUGUAGCGGUGAAAUGCGUAGAUAUCAGUCGGAACACCGGUGGCGAAGGCGGCUUCUUGGGCCUUUACUGACGCUGAGGCGCGAAAGCUGGGGGAGCGAACGGGAUUAGAUACCCUCGUAGUCC
rnacentral:rRNA from 1 species